AGUGAGGAAUAUUGCGCAAUGGAGGCAACUCUGACGCAGCCAUGCCGCGUGCAGGAAGAAGGCGCUACGCGUUGUAAACUGCUUUUAUCCGGGAAGAAACCCCAGGACGUGUCCUGGGUUGACGGUACCGGAGGAAUAAGCACCGGCUAACUUCGUGCCAGCAGCCGCGGUAAUACGAAGGGUGCAAGCGUUAUCCGGAUUCAUUGGGUUUAAAGGGUGCGUAGGCGGAACAAUAAGUCAGCGGUGAAAUCCUGCAGCUCAACUGUAGAAUUGCCGUUGAUACUGUUGUUCUUGAGUACGCUUGACGUGGGCGGAAUGUGCCGUGUAGCGGUGAAAUGCUUAGAUAUGGCACAGAACACCGAUAGUGAAGACAGCUCACGAAGGCGAAACUGACGCUGAGGCACGAAAGCGUGGGGAUCAAA
rnacentral:rRNA from 1 species